UACGGGGGGGGUAAGCGUUGUUCGGAAUUACUGGGCGUAAAGCGCACGUAGGCGGCUUUGCAAGUUCGAUGUGAAAUCCCUCGGCUCAACCAAGGAAGUGCAUCGAAAACUGCAGAGCUUGAGUACAAAAGAGGAUCGCGGAAUUCCAGGUGUAGCGGUGAAAUGCGUAGAUAUCUGGAGGAACACCGGUGGCGAAGGCGGCAUCCUGGACCGGUAUUGACGCUGAGGCGCGAAAGCCAGGGGAGCAAACGGG
rnacentral:rRNA from 1 species